rnacentral:SRP_RNA from 1 species
GCCAGGUGCGGUGGUGCACACCUGUAGUCCUAGCUACUCGGGAGGCUGAGGUGGGAGGAUUGCUUGAGCCCAGGAGUUCAAGGCUGCAGUGAGCUGGGAUUGCACCACUGCACUCCAGCCUUGGUGACAAAGCAAGAUCACGUCUCAA